rnacentral:lncRNA from 1 species
UUAUCCCUUCUAGUCAAAGGCUUCAUCAUCGUCAUGUUGAAGUGGCUGAGUGGCGGCUUGCAAAAGUUCUCGUUCAUGCAGUUGGUGUAACCUGAGAGUAUAUUAGUCCCAAUAUUUUCAUUAAACUUGGACCAUAUUUGCACAAAUGUCAAAAGCAGGCACAAAAUCCAAAUAUCAGCACAAAAGUAUACUAUUUGUAUAAAUUAGAGCGGCAUAUGAAUGGAAAAACUGGCUUUCAGCUGCACACAUCAAGCAGGCAAACGUGACAGAUUAAUGCUGAAAAAAUUAACUCACUAAAAUUGCCUCUAAUGGUUCUCCUUUGACAUCUUGCUUCAAAAUGGCUUCCGAAAGUCCUAGUUUCUGAUGAUAAUAUAACAGUUACAUAACCAGUAAAUAUAAAAGAAAAAGGAAAAAGGAGGAAAAAAAUGAAACUAAUCGCCUCACAGCACAUCAAGUAUGACUACAUUAUACUCGGAUACAAAAAUAGCUCAACUGAUGUAAACUUGCUCCAUCUCCAGAAGUGGAAAGUCUUCCUAUGCAUCUUCUGCUUGCUUAUAUCCAGUAUCCCAAGUUAGCGUUAACUUCAUACAGCAGCUGUCUCUUCAAUUAUUCCUUCUUCCUUGGCUUCCUCGCCUAGAGUAAAUCGGACAAACCUCCUAACUUUUAUGUUCUCUCCAAGGGCGGCAACAGUUUGCUUUACCAAAUCCUUCACCAAAACACUGUCAUCUUU